UUUCCCGUGUACUCAAACAAUUCUAAAUUUGUCACUGCACUAAGGACACUAAGCCUGUUACAUACUAAGCUGGCGGAGUUACGUCCUGCAUGAACGUUCCUUUGAAGGUUGCUGAUCGCAUUAUGCCGCAACCGCUGCAGAGGAUCGGCCGAGAAGUUAGCGGGAACCAUUUUAUCCCUCAUGUUUCAAUACAAAAGGCGCCAAGUGAUAAAGAUUGUUUGAGAUAAAGCAACAUCGCAAGUACAUAAUAAGCCUAUUUAUCUGCAUGAAAAGGGCGUACAGCACGAGCAGUAGAAGAGGCAACGACACUCUUCAGCGUGAGAUCAAAGGAGAAUACGUGAACGAACUCAUGCGCUCAACAAGCUGCAUUCUAUGAAUGUUGUAAUGCACGCAUUGUAUGCGCUGCACGCUUGCGCGCAAAUUGGAAGAAAAUGGGACAGAGUGCCCAAAGAAAACAAGGACCGAAGACGCAGAUGUUUUUACAGUGGCUCUUGGCCUAGAAGUGCCGAAACAGUACCUCGCAGAGCAACUUCAAUGCGCUAUUCGCCGCUUUUCCGCGGACAGAUAUAACGAAAAUGCACAAGAGCCACCACGGAGCAAAAAAAAAAAAAAACAGUUUGCUAUCAUCUUGAAUAAUGAUGAGAGGCGACGCAGCUGUAAAAGCGUGAAUGAAAAUUGGCCACUUUCUAAAUGUCGGCCAGAAAGGCGUAGAAGGACGUGAAUUCCAGACACGAACUUUCGCCUAUUGGCACCCUGCAAUGCAGUUUGGCUGUACACGUUGCGCCACCCAGCAGCGGCGGUGAGCACCCGCGGGCAGGCCUUCGCCGCCGCGGCAGCUUUGUCCGUAUUGCGCUCAAGCGCGCCUGACAGCCUCGUUUUCUAAUUUUGCAAUGGAUUUACCGCAGCCUCUCGGCAGCUCCUCUGUGAGAGGUUUGACGAAGAAGAACAAGCGCAGAUAUUGCUGCGUUAAGGAUUGCCACAACUGCGAAGGGGAUGACGGCAUCAAAUUCUACCGCUUCCCUUCAAGUCCGUGGGAAGCAACCCGGCGGCUGAAGUGGAUCGUCGUGGUUCCGCGCGUCAACGGUGAUGACCUCUCACAUUGGAGCCCUAAUAAGAAUACGAGAAUUUGUUCGAGGCAGUUCGUCAACGAAGAAAAAGCAACAUCGAGAAUCAUCCUGGUUACCUGCCAACAAUAUUCCCACCCGUCUACAAGAAGCGGUCCACGGCUCCUGCUGCACAGAUUUCCAGGUUCAGCAGGAAACUCAAACACCGGAGAGGAGCAACGCGACCACAAGCUUUUCAGUGUUUAUUUGCUGCACUGAAGGCAACAACCUGUCAACGCAGAUAACCUCCCACGAGACAUGCGACUGAGAAGUGCAACACACUCUGAACGUUCCCAGCAAGCACUGUGGUCCAGACCAUCGGACAAGCUAUUUUGCUGGCCACGAAAGUAUUUCAAGGAGUACAAGUGCUCUUGAGGACUUAUGUAAUGUAAGUCAGGUGAUGUUCGCCUUGCUCUUGAGGGUGUUUCCGGCCUCGACUGAGCGCAGAUGUGACGUGUCUAAAGAAGAUCGACUGCUGCUGUUCCUGAUGAAAUUGAAACUUGGCAUCAGCUAUUCAUCCCUGGCUACUCUGUUCAGCAUUAGUGAAACAUCAGCCUCACGACAUUUUAAAAGUGUCCUCAAAACCUUGGCAUUUGCUACAAAGCAAUGGAUUUUUCGUCCUGCACUCAGAGUUAUUCAGGCUACCAUGUCAGACGGUUUUAGAGCACAUUAUCUGGACUGCACAAUAGCUCGUUGCGUCGUCCUCAAUUUAAGUAGAACCCUUUUCCUAAGCCUCUAGGUUUCUGCCCCAUACGUGAGUACAGGUGAGACACAGAUGUUAUACACUUUUCUCUUGAGGAAUAAUGGCAACCUGCUGUUCAUGAUUUGAGAAUAUCUGACAAACGCACCGCAGGCCAUUCCUAUUCUUCUGAUUAUUUCAAUCUCAUGACCCGGAUCCGCGGUCACUACCUGCCCUAAGUAGAUGUAUUCCCUCACCAUUUCCAAUGCCUCGCUACCUAUCGUAAACUGCUCUUCUCUUCCGAGACCGCUAAACAUUACUUUAGUUUUCUGCAGAUUAAUUUUUAGACCCACCCUUCUGCUUUGGCUCUCCAGGUCAGUGAGCAUGCAUUGAAAUUGGUCCCCUGAGUUUUUAAGCAAGGCAAUGUCAUCAGCGAAUCGCAAGUUGCUAAGGUAUUCUCCGUUAACUCUUAUCCCUAAUUCUUCCCAAUCCAGGUCUCUGAAUACCUCCUGUAAGCACGCUGUGAAUAGCAUUGGAGAGAUCGUAUCUCCCUGCCUGACGCCUUUCUUUAUUGAGAUUUUGUUGCUUUAUCACCUACAGAUAGUGUAGGUGAUAGCAACAAAGCCACGUGCAAGUGGCUCGACAGAAAUCAUUCCAAAAAACCUUCGAGGGAGAGGGACAGAGGAGGAGCCCUAGAAACUUCAGCCAAGGGCGAGGAAUGUAAAUUUCUUAUCCAUCAGAUGCACUGACGGGACACUAAUACAUAGGUUAGCGCAACGUUUCACUGCUUCCCUUGGCGAAAAUCUUGUCUACCCGGCACAGUUAAUAUUGACAUGAGUGCUACAACAUCUGUGGAAGUAAUCCUGUUGCGUGUUGUUACUCCACAAGGUUUAAUAUAUUUGGCAUAUAAGUGGCGCCUUGACGUGACCGUCGUAGGAUAUUGUUUUUUCAUUUGUUCCACUUGUACAGCAAUAUAUAUGCUAGGAUGCAUUGUACAAUAUGUGAACUUAUUUCGGUGCUGUUAUUUCUUCUAGGUUUCCGCCGAACAUAUUUGUGUUUAUCAUAUGUGCAGUCUGCAGUAAGGCAACAAUAUGUUUGUCAUCACUUUUGUUUCACAACAUAAUUUGUUAUGUCCACUAGCUCUCAAUUCUUGUUGUUAUAGUUAUUCCUCUUUAAUUUCAUUAGCUUGCUUUGUUUACCUUGUAUGUAUGUUUUAUCAUGUGUUUAAUAUCUUUAUUUUGCACCUGAAUUUGGGCACUAUAUUGGUGCAAUGAGAAAUUAUAUAUGCACUAUCAGAAUAAAUUCAAUUGCAAACAAUUACAGAACAGCGGCACUUUGUUUUCAGGUUCACCUACAUUUUUAAUAAGCUUCAUUUACUCCAAGACGUACACUUGGCACUGCUCUGUGCUUGACAGUUUCUGUGCUUAGAAACUGGCUAGAUUAUGCUCCCACAUUGCACUUUGUAAUUACACGUAACAGGCGUUAUGAUCCGUUUUUUUCUGUUCGCAUGUUAAAUUUAACUUGAUGGUACGGUAUUCACGGAUUUUCUCUGUUGCAUGUUUCAAGGUGCGCACAUUUAAACAGUAAAAACGAAUUUCAUUGGCUGAUGCUGUUGUUGAGCAACUGUUGUAGACGAACAAAGAGCACCUGUCUUGCUUGAGUCCUGUCACCAGUGUUUGCAGAUUUAAGGCACCAGGAAGAUAUACUCACUUUUAAUCUGCCAAUAAACUUUGACACAUCUGGACAUAUUAAAAUCAGUAUUUAUUGUUCCUACUUCAUUUGACAAGCAUGAAUACGUGGGUGCAGUUUUCUUUG